rnacentral:rRNA from 1 species
GAUGAACGCUGGCGGCGUGCCUAAUACAUGCAAGUCGAGCGAACAGACGAGGAGCUUGCUCCUUUGACGUUAGCGGCGGACGGGUGAGUAACACGUGGGUAACCUACCUAUAAGACUGGGAUAACUUCGGGAAACCGGAGCUAAUACCGGAUAAUAUUUCGAACCGCAUGGUUCGAUAGUGAAAGAUGGCUUUGCUAUCACUUAUAGAUGGACCUGCGCCGUAUUAGCUAGUUGGUAAGGUAACGGCUUACCAAGGCAACGAUACGUAGCCGACCUGAGAGGGUGAUCGGCCACACUGGAACUGAGACACGGUCCAGACUCCUACGGGAGGCAGCAGUAGGGAAUCUUCCGCAAUGGGCGAAAGCCUGACGGAGCAACGCCGCGUGAGUGAUGAAGGUCUUCGGAUCGUAAAACUCUGUUGUUAGGGAAGAACAAACGUGUAAGUAACUGUGCACGUCUUGACGGUACCUAAUCAGAAAGCCACGGCUAACUACGUG